UCUCUUGUCAUGCAAACAUUUGGGGCAGAAGAAGAGUAGAAAGAGAAAGCAGCAGAAGAAGCUCGUGAGCAUCUCGAGACUCUGGAGAGUGGUCUUCAGAGGAAGCAUUUCUCUGGAAGUGAAGAUAAAUUUUGUGGACAUUGCAACAGGCUGGAUUGGAAUAUAGGCUCGUAUUGUUGAGAAAAUAACAGAUGUGAACCUGAUUAAUGCAGAGCCAUGCCUUUGGUUGAUUCUUGGUUUGCAAAGUUCUUGGAACUCCCAGCUAUUAAAGAAAGUGUGCCUCCACGUGAAAAAUUGCUAGAGCACUAUAGGGGCAUCCGCAGGAUAUUGACGUCUGCAAUAACCUGAAACCUUUAUCAACAGUUGAAGCUGCACUAGCCUUGGUUGGCUGUCUGCAUAUUAUGAUAAUUAAGAAUCUGGAAUGCUGAUUCAUGUUGAUCCCGAGUGUAUUAAAUAAUGGAAUCUAACCACUAGUACUCCUUAUGUCUAACAUGUUUGUCAGGGAACUAGUACAACCAACACAUCAUAACGAGUGGAUAAUGUAUUAGCAUCAUGGGUUUGGCAUAUAAGAGGUGACCCUUUCAAUUAUGUAUCAGGAGCUUCUUCUGCCCCAAAUGUUUACAUGACAAGAGAGAGAAAGAGAUGGAAAAAGAAAGAAAAUAUACAGAGUCGUCGAAAGUAUUAGAGAAGAAGCUGUUAUGGGUAUUUUAGUCUUUUAACUAAGAUUAACGGUGACUUAACUGAAAAUCUAACGGGAGGGACUAAUGGCAUAGUUUUUAAAAAUCACAGUGACUAAAUUGACGAUUUUUUAAAACAGAGGGACGAAAGGUUAUAUUUCACUAAACUAGAGGGACUAAAUUGCAGUUUACCCU
rnacentral:lncRNA from 1 species